AGAGCGAACGCUGGCGGCAUGCCUAACACAUGCAAGUCUGACGGGCCGGCCUUUCGGGGCUGGUCAGUGGCGGACGGGUGAGGAGCGCGUAGGAACGUAUCCAGGGGUGGGGGAUAACCGCGGGAAACUGCGGCUAAUACCGCACGGGGCCUGAGGGCCAAAGGCAGGGAGACCUGCCGCCUUUGGAGCGGCCUGCGUCCGAUUAGCUAGUUGGUGAGGUAAUGGCUCACCAAGGCAUUGACGGGUAGCCGGCCUGAAAGGGUGAUCGGCCACACUGGCACUGAGACACGGGCCAGACUCCUACGGGAGGCAGCAGUGGGGAAUUUUGGACAAUGGGGGCAACCCUGAUCCAGCGACGCCGCGUGAAGGAUGAAGGUCUUCGGAUUGUAAACUUCUUUUAGAGGGAUGAAUGCCUGCGUGAUAACGCAGGGUGACAGUACCCUUGAAUAAGCCACGGCUAACUACGUGCCAGCAGCCGCGGUAA
rnacentral:rRNA from 1 species